UGGGGAAUAUUGCACAAUGGGGGAAACCCUGAUGCAGCGACGCCGCGUGAUCGAAGAAGGUAUUCGUAUCGUAAAGUUCUGUCCUAUGGGAAGAUAAUGACAGUACCAUAGAAGAAAGCUCCGGCUAAAUACGUGCCAGCAGCCGCGGUAAUACGUAUGGAGCGAGCGUUGUCCGGAAUUAUUGGGCGUAAAGGGUACGCAGGCGGUUUAAUAAGUCGAAUGUUAAAGAUCGGGGCUCAACCCCGUAAAGCAUUGGAAACUGAUAAACUUGAGUAGUGGAGAGGAAAGUGGAAUUCCUAGUGUAGUGGUGAAAUACGUAGAUAUUAGGAGGAAUACCAGUAGCGAAGGCGACUUUCUGGACACAAACUGACGCUGAGGUACGAAAGCGUGGGGAGCAAACAGG
rnacentral:rRNA from 1 species